rnacentral:rRNA from 1 species
AAAGUUAGAGGUUCGAAGGCGAUCAGAUACCGCCCUAGUUCUAACCAUAAACGAUGCCAGCCAGCGAUCCGGCUGUGUUCCUCAAAUGACACGCCGGGCAGCUUCCGGGAAACCAAAGCUUUUGGGUUCCGGGGGAAGUAUGGUUGCAAAGCUGAAACUUAAAGGAAUUGACGGAAGGGCACCACCAGGAAUGGAGCCUGCGGCUUAAUUUGACUCAACACGGGAAAACUUACCCGGCCCGGACACAGGAAGGAUUGACAGAUUAAGAGCUCUUUCUUGAUUCUGUGGGUGGUGGUGCAUGGCCGUUCUUAGUUGGUGGAGCGAUUUGUCUGGUUAAUUCCGAUAACGAACGAGACUCUAGCCUACUAAAUAGACGUUCCGAUCAUCUCUGUCGGACGUUCUUCUUAGAGGGACAAGCGGCGUUUAGCCGCACGAGACAGAGCAAUAACAGGUCUGUGAUGCCCUUAGAUGUCCGGGGCCGCACGCGCGCUACAUUGAAGGAAUCAGCGUGUGCUUUCCCUGUCCGACAGGACUGGGUAACCCGUUGAACCUCCUUCGUGCUGGGGAUAGGGGCUUGUAAUUGUUCCCCUUGAACGAGGAAUUCCCAGUAAGCACGAGUCAUAAGCUCGUGUUGAUUACGUCCCUGCCCUUUGUACACACCGCCCGUCGCUACUACCGAUUGAAUGAUUUAGUGAGGUCUUCGGACUGGAACUCGGAGCGGCCUUCGGGUCGCGCCGGCGUGCCGGAAAGAUGACCAAACUUGAUCAUU